GGAGAAGUGGCCGAGUGGUCGAAGGCGCUCCCCUGCUAAGGGAGUAGAGUUCUGCUCUCAUGGGUUCGAAUCCCAUCUUCUCCGCCA
rnacentral:tRNA from 1 species